AUUGAACGCUGGCGGCAGGCCUAACACAUGCAAGUCGAACGAGUGGCGGACGGGUGAGUAAUGUCUGGGAAACUGCCCGAUGGAGGGGGCUAACUACUGGAAACGGUAGCUAAUACCGCAUACCAUCGGAUGUGCCCAGAUGGGAUUAGCUAGUCGGUGGGGUAACGGCUCACCAAGGCGACGAUCCCUAGCUGGUCUGAGAGGAUGACCAGCCAGACUGGAACUGAGACACGGUCCAGACUCCUACGGGAGGCAGCAGUGGGGAAUAUUGCACAAUGGGCGAAAGCCUGAUACAGCCAUGCCGCGUGUAUGAAGAAGGCCUUCGGGUUGUAAAGUACUGUCAGCGAGGAGGCGUUACUCGCAGAAGAAGCACCGGCUAACUCCGUGCCAGCAGCCGCGGUAAUUC
rnacentral:rRNA from 1 species